rnacentral:rRNA from 1 species
UACGUAGGCAGCGAGCGUUGUUCGGAAUUACUGGGCGUAAAGAGUGUGUAGGCGGUUCUCUAAGUUCGGUGUGAAAUCUCCUGGCUUAACUGGGAGGGUGCGCCGGAAACUGGAGUGCUCGAACGUGGGAGAGGAAAGCGGAAUUCCUGGCGUAGCGGUGAAAUGCGUAGAUAUCAGGAGGAACACCUGCGGUGUAGACGGCUUUCUGGACCAUUGUUGACGCUGAGACACGAAAGCGUGGGUAGCAAACAGG